rnacentral:rRNA from 1 species
GUUGAACGCUGGCGGCAUGCCUAAUACAUGCAAGUCGAACGGUAAGAGGAAACGCUUGGCUGUUUGACUUUCGAGUGGCAGGGGUGAGUGAAAUGUGGGUAACACUGCUUUAUGACUGGGGUUAACUAGUGAAAACGGUGGCAAUUACGGCAUAUCUUCUCAACACCAAGGUGCAAUAGUGAAGGACCGCUUUCCAGCAGAUUAUCGCUGAUUCCGUGCGGCAUUAGCUAGUUGGUCAGGUAACGGCUUACCAAGGCAACGAUUCGUAGCAGACCUGAGAGGAUGAUCGGCCACACUGGAACUGAGACACGGUCCAGACUCCUACGGGAGGCAGCAGUGGGGAAUAUUGCGCAAUGGGCGAAAGCCUGACGGAGCAACGCCGCGUGAAUGAUGAAGGUCUUCGGGUCGUAAAGCACUUUUAGUAGGGAAGAACAGAGUUGUAAGUAACUAUGCACUUCUUGACGGUACCUGAACAAAAAGCCACGGCUAACUACGUG